UCCGGGGAACUCGAGAUAUGGUUUGGGCAGCGGAGGAGACUCAUUUCUAACCUUAGCUGCUUUUGAUUAAAUUAUAUCCCAGCGAGAGGCCCCUCACUGGACAAGGCAGGUCGCCAUGGUCUCCCUGCAGCCCCCCAGCAGGCACGUCUUUGGACCCCGGUUCCUGCUGCUUCGAGCACUCUCACCAGUGUCAGAUCACAGCUAACAUUUGUGUCCACAGAUCUAAGAAAGCCGCUAAGAUGCCGCUUCUGUGAUGAGGGCUCAGCCUGGCUUCCCAUCGUCCCGGCGGCCUGGGAUGCACCACUUAGCACAGUUAGGUUCAUGCAGAUAAACUCAUGGACCCCCUCCUCUCCAGCAAUGAUUUGCUGCUUCACCAGCACCGUCAGGAGGCUGAGAACCCGUGUGAAGCGUAGGUGGGAGCGGACUGAGCUGGAAGAAAGUGACAGUGGCUUCCAGAGGGAGGAGAGAGCAUGCUGAGGCCACCAGGCAGCCAAGGGCGCUUCUUCCCACCUCUGGGAGUGGAGGCUGAGUGCCGAGAAAGGGGGCUCAUCAAGACCCCUGACUCCCUGCACAGAGACGUACAGCAGCCUCCGGGCCUCCCAGGACUGGAGCUGGGGUUUUGGAGCAAGUGCAGGGCCCUCCCUCCACCAACGAGCCAGUUUCCUGAGAGUCGGGACAGGAAGGAAUCUCAGGAACGUCACAUGUGAGGACCCCAUUCUGCAGAUUGGAAAGCAGACAGAGGCCCGCAGGAGGAGAGCCUGGCCCAGGAAUUCUGGACUCUCCACAUCUGUGAGUCUCCCCGCAAGAGACAUGGCCAGGCAUCUCUCAACAUCCUGGUUUCAUGUUUCAGUCCUAAAGGUUUCUUAUUACCUCUCUCCCUGCUCUGCACAUCAGCGGAAAUCAGGUUAGGAUCGCUUCUGUCACCCUC